rnacentral:sRNA from 1 species
AGCGGGCCGGGGUGCGGAGCCGACAUGCGCCCGCUGCUCGGCCUCCUUCUGGUCUUCGCCGGCUGCACCUUCGCCUUGUACUUGCUGUCGACGCGACUGCCCCGCGGGCGGAGACUGGGCUCCACCGAGGAGGCUGGAGGCAGGUCGCUGUGGUUCCCCUCCGACCUGGCAGAGCUGCGGGAGCUCUCUGAGGUCCUUCGAGAGUACCGGAAGGAGCACCAGGCCUACGUGUUCCUGCUCUUCUGCGGCGCCUACCUCUACAAACAGGGCUUUGCCAUCCCCGGCUCCAGCUUCCUGAAUGUUUUAGCUGGUGCCUUGUUUGGGCCAUGGUUGGGGCUUCUGCUGUGCUGUGUGUUGACCUCGGUGGGUGCCACAUGCUGCUACCUGCUCUCCAGUAUUUUUGGCAAACAGUUGGUGGUGUCCUACUUUCCUGAUAAAGUGGCCCUGCUGCAGAGAAAGGUGGAGGAGAACAGAAACAGCUUGUUUUUUUUCUUAUUGUUUUUGAGACUUUUCCCCAUGACACCAAACUGGUUCUUGAACCUCUCGGCCCCGAUUCUGAACAUUCCCAUCGUGCAGUUCUUCUUCUCAGUUCUUAUCGAGGCAAGGUCUUGCUAUGUUGCUCAGACUGAUCUUGAACUCCUGACCCUAAAGUGAUCCUCCUGCCUCAGCCUCCCAAAGUGCUGGGAUUGCAGCUUGCCCAGAGACAUCUGAGUCUUCACACGGCGCACGGCACACUCCUUGUCAGAGAGCCCAUCCGAGUGUGAGGAUAUGUCAAUGGGAAUCUCUGGCGUCUGGGACAGCAGGUCGUCUAGCUUCUCUGAGAAGCAGUCUUCAAGUUUAUCAGCUAACUCAUCGGGACUGUUUGAGUGGUCACUGGUAUUUCCCUCUUCUCCAUCGGACACAGAGAAAUUCUCAGAGCUAAAGGUUGAAUAUGACUGGCAGCUGCUGAUACAGCGAUGGGGCCUAGAACCAAGAAGAACCAGGAGAACUUAGUCAGAGGAACUGCUUUUCUUUCCUUAUCUGUCACUCAUA